GUAAGGAAUAUUGCGCAAUGGACGCAAGUCUGACGCAGCAACGCCGCGUGCGGGAUGAAGGUCUUCGGAUCGUAAACCGCUUUUGUGAGGGAAGAGACAGGACGGUACCUCACGAAUAAGUCUCGGCUAACUACGUGCCAGCAGCCGCGGUAAAACGUAGGAGGCAAGCGUUAUCCGGAUUUACUGGGCGUAAAGCGCGUGCAGGCGGUUUCCUCAGUCGUGCGUGAAAGCUCCCUGGCUUAACCGGGAGAGGUCGUGCGAUACUGGGAAACUGGAGACAGAGAGAGGCAAGUAGAAUUCCGGGUGUAGUGGUGAAAUGCGUAGAUAUCCGGAGGAAUACCAGUGGCGAAGGCGGCUUGCUAGCUCUGUUCUGACGCUCAGACGCGAAAGCAUGGGGAGCGAACGGGAUUAGAUACCCGUGUAGUCC
rnacentral:rRNA from 1 species